AGACUCUGCCUUUGUAAAUUAUGAAGGCCAACUCACUCUCCCCAUUCUCCUUCCUCUCCAGGAAAGGAAUGGAAAAUCAGAAGACUUGUUUGGGUCACAUAAAGAAAGAAGCUGAGUGAGAAAUUUCUGGUUCUGGCAAUAAGAAUGUGAAUGAAAUGGCUCAAACACUGGCAGCUGACUUGGACCCUGAGAUAAUUCGGAAAUGGAAACGCAUGACAUGGGAACAAGAGAGAAGACUGAAGAAUUGAAGCAAUAGAAUGUCAUUCCAGACGGAACUAUCCCCAAUGUCUUGGACUAGAAUAAGGAAUAUACCUCUGCUUUAUUCAAGCCAAUACUAUUGAGGCUUAUAGCAUCAGAGUCCUAACUAAUAUUCUACAGCAAUCUGCCAAUCCUCCUCCACCCCUGAUGGUAUUCCAGAUAGCAGUGACUUUUUAUGCUACUCCUAAAGGCAUACCUCACUGUUGACCAUUCCUUUUCUUUCAAAUACUCUGUCUUUUGGACUUUCAUGACACCAUAUCUUCUGGAUUUUUAUCCAGACUCUCCUCUGCCUCUACUUUCUUCUUAAAUCGGAGUUCUCAGCCAUAGCAAUAUAUUACAAUUGCCUGGGAAGCUUUGAAAAAAUGUUGGGGCUUAGGCCAAAGAUUCUAAUUUAAUUGGUAUGGUGUGGGAUCAUGGCGUCACUCUUCUUUACAAGCUCCCCAGUGACUCUAGCAUGUAGCCGUGGUUCACAGCCACUACCUUCAGUACUGCUAGGCUGAAGGCCAUUGUAGACUCUGGACUCUUAUUUUCUUCUUUGCACAUUCACCUAAACCAGCCUCCUUUGCUUCUAGCUUCAGUAAGCAUCUACAUGCUGAUGACUUUCAAAAUGUUAUCUCCUGGAUCUCUCUCUUGAGCUUAGGCCCUUAUAGGUAAUAGCCAGUUGGACAACUCCAAUAAGUAUGCCAUUGACAACUCAUGACCAUCAUAUGCAACUUUUAAAAUUAUUUCUUUACUCUCCCUGAAAUAUUCUUGUUCCUAUUCUUAUGUUUAAUAUAUAUGUAAAUAGUUACAGGAGUUAGAAAAUUCAUUUUUCUAUUCCCUGUUCCCCUCAUUCUCUCAGUGACUCUCUAUGACAAAUUGUUACACUUAGAUUCUACAUUUUACUGUCUCUCAUAUUUAUUCACCUCUCUCCAUCUGCACUGCCAUUUCUUGGUUGAAGCUACCAUUGUUUCUUACUGGUUUCUCUGCAGAGUCUUACUCCCUUAUAGUCUCUCCCUGCCCAACAGAUGGAAUGAACUUUUUAAAACACACACCCAGUCAUGACAUGUCUUUGCUCAGAGGCUUUGAGGUGUUUCCCCUUCGCUUUGGGAUAAAAGCUAAAUGCCUUUGCCCAGACCACCAGAUUUUUCAUGAUAUUCCCCUGCCUUGCAUCUCCAGAUGCAUAGUUCAUUAUUCUUUUCCACCUUUAUGCUACUGUACAGGUAUAGGGACUUGUUAGCAGUUUCCCAAAUUCAUAUUCUUCUCUGCACCUUCCCCUAGCUAUAUUAAAAUGUUCUGAUUUCUUUUUUUCUUAAUUUUAUUGGAGUAGAGUUGACUUACAAUGUUAUUUUAUUUUUUAAUUUUUUCUCUUUAAGAAAUCCCUUUAAUUUCUUUUUUUAAUUUUUUUUCUUAUAAGAAAUUUUAUUUUUUAAUUGUUAUUUCCCCAGUAAAAUUUUUUCACUCUACUUUUUUGUUUGUUUAUAUUGAUUUAAUUUUUUUAAUUUUUUAAAACAUUUUUAUUAUUUCCCAAAUACAAUUUUUUUUUCUACUCUAUAGCAUGGUGACCCAGUUACACAUACAUGUAUACAUUCCUUUUUCGCACAUUAUCAUGCUCCAUCAUAAGUGACUAGUUCCCAGUACUACAUAGCAGGAUCUCAUUGCUAAUCCAUCCAAAGGCAAUAGUUUGUAUCUGUUAACCCCAAGCUCCCAAUCCAUCCCACUCCCUCCCCCUCGCAGCCACAAGUCUAUUCUCCAAGUCCAUGAUUCUCUAUUCCAGAUAGAAGUGAUAUCGUAUGAUAUUUGUCUUUCUCUUUCUGACUUACUUCCCUAUGAGAGUCUCUAGUUCCAUCCAUGCUGCUGCAAAUGGCAUUAUUUUGUUCUUUUUAUGGCUGAGUAGUGUUCCAUUGUGUAUAUAUACUGCAUCUUCCUAAUUCAGUCAUCUGUCAAUGGACAUUUGGGUGGUUUCCAUGUCUUGGCUAUUGUGAAUAGUGCUGCAGUGAACAUGCAGCUGCAUGUGUCUUUUUCAAAGAAAGUUUUAUCCAGAUAUAUGCCCAAGAAUGGGGUUGCUGUUUUAGUUUCAGGUGUACAGCAAAGUGAAUCAGUUAUAUAUAUAUAAAUAUAUUUUUUCCCAUAUAGGUUAUUAAAGAAUAUUAAGUAGAUUUCCCUGUGCUAUAUGGCAGUUCUUUCUAGUUAUCUGUUCUAUACAUAGUAGUGUGUAUAUGCCAAUCCCAAUCCCCUAGUUUAUCCCUCACUGUCCAUAAGGUUUCUCCUUUAGUAACCAUAAGUUUGAUUUCAAAUUCUGUGAGUUUGUUUCUAUUUUAUAAAUGAGUUCUUUCAUAUCAUUUUCUUUUAUAUAUAUAUGAUUUUUAUUUUUUUCCAUUAUAGCUUGUUUACAAUGAUCUGUCAAUUUUCUACUGUGUAGCAUGGUGACCCAGUUACACAUACAUGUAUACAUUCUUUUUCAUGUCAUUUUCAUUAGAUUUCACAUAUAAGUGAUAUCAUAUGAUAUUUGUCUUUGACUUACUUUGCUUAAUAUGAUAAUUUCUGGGUCCAUCCAUGUUGCUGCAAAUGGCAUUAUUUCCCUCUUUUUUAUGGCUGAGUAGUAUUCCAUUGUAUAUAGGGACCACAUCUUCUUUAUCUAUUCCUCUGUCGAUGGAAAUUUAAGUUGCUUCCAUGACUUGGCUGUUGUAAAAAGUACUCCUGCUUUCUUAGUUACUUCCUAAAUUCCCUCAGUGCAGAGAACAUUGUCUUGAUUACCACUUGUACAUAUAUGCUUUUACACAAUGUCUGGGAUAUAGUUAACUCUACCUUCUAUAUUCCAAAUCCAUGGUGCUUACAUUGUGGUGGACUCAACUGAUAUUUACAGAAUGAAAAGAGAUUCUUAAUCAUUUUAUAUAUGGGCUCAGAGAGAUUUGAUCAUUUACCAAGCAUCACAGAAAAAAAAUGUAACUAAAGCUAUGUUUGAUUCAGGUUUGCUGGCUCCAAAUCUCAUAUUUUCACCUUAUUAACAUGUAUAACUUCUACACAAAAAUAUAUUGUGGGAGUUUCCUGGUGGCCCAGUGGGUUAAGGAUCAUAUAUUGUCACUGCUGUGGCUCAGGUUGCUACUAUGGUGUGGGUUUGACCCGUGGCCCUGGAACAUCUAUAUUCUGUGGGUUCAGGCAAAAAAAAAAGCAAACAAUUUAUUUUAAAAAUGCUUUGUGAAGAGACUCUAAUAAAUAUGCCAUUUAAAGCAAAA
ensembl:lncRNA